rnacentral:rRNA from 1 species
GACGAACGCUGGCGGCGUGCUUAACACAUGCAAGUCGAACGGAAAGGCCCUUCUUUUGUUGGGUGCUCGAGUGGCGAACGGGUGUGUAACACGUGAGUAACCUGCCCUUGACUUUGGGAUAACUUCAGGAAACUGGGGCUCAUACCGGAUAGGAGCUCCUGCUGCAUGGUGGGGGUUUGAAAGUUUCGGCGGUUGGGUAUGGACUCGCGGCUUAUCAGCUUGUUGGUGGGGUAGUGGCUUACCAAGGCUUUGACGGGUAGCCGGCCUGAGAGGGUGACCGGCCACAUUGGGACUGAGAUACGGCCCAGACUCCUACGGGAGGCAGAAGUGGGGAAUAUUGCACAAUGGGCGGAAGCCUGAUGCAGCAACGCCGCGUGCGGGAUGACGGCCUUCGGGUUGUAAACCGCUUUCGCCUGUGACGAAGCGUGAGUGACGGUAAUGGGUAAAGAAGCACCGGCUAACUACGUG